AUCGAACGCUGGCGGCAGGCCUAACACAUGCAAGUCGAGCGAGCGGCGGACGGGUGAGUAAUGUCUGGGAAACUGCCUGCUGUCGGGGGGUAACUACUGGAAACGGUAGCUAAUACCGCAUACCAUCAGAUGUUCACAGAUGGGAUUAGCUAGUAGGUGGGGUAACGGCUCACCUAGGCGGCGAACCCUAGCUGGUCUGAGAGGAUGACCAGCCACACUGGAACUGAGACACGGUCAAGGCGCCUACGGCAGGCAGCAGAGGGGAAUAUUGCGCAAUGGGCGCAAGCCUGACGCAGCCAUGGCGCGUGUGUGAAGAAGGCCGUCGGGUUGUAAAGCACUUUCAGCGGGGAGGCGUUACCCGCAGAAGAAGCACCGGCUAACUCCGUGCCAGCCGCCGCGGUAAUAC
rnacentral:rRNA from 1 species